rnacentral:rRNA from 1 species
AGAACGAACGCUGGCGGCAUGCCUAAUACAUGCAAGUCGAACGAACACUUCGGUGUUAGUGGCGCACGGGUGCGUAACGCGUGGGAAUCUGCCCUUGGGUUCGGAAUAACAGUUGGAAACGACUGCUAAUACCGGAUGAUAUCGAAAGAUCAAAGAUUUAUCGCCCAGGGAUGAGCCCGCGUAGGAUUAGCUAGUUGGUGAGGUAAAGGCUCACCAAGGCGACGAUCCUUAGCUGGUCUGAGAGGAUGAUCAGCCACACUGGGACUGAGACACGGCCCAGACUCCUACGGGAGGCAGCAGUAGGGAAAUAUUGGACAAUGGGCG